AUUGAACGCUGGCGGCAGGCCUAACACAUGCAAGUCGAGCGGAUGAAGGGAGCUUGCUCCUGUAUUCAGCGGCGGACGGGUGAGUAAUGCCUAGGAAUCUGCCUUGUAGUUGGGGAUAACGUCCGGAAACGGGCGCUAAUACCGCAUACGUCCUGAGGUAGAAAGUGGGGGAUCUUCGGACCUCACGCUAUCAGCUGAGCCUAGGUCGGAUUAGCUAGUUGGUGGGGUAAAGGCCUACCAAGGCGACGAUCCGUAACUGGUCUGAGAGGAUGAUCAGUCACACUGGAACUGAGACACGGUCCAGACUCCUACGGGAGGCAGCAGUGGGGAAUAUUGGACAAUGGGCGAAAGCCUGAUCCAGCCAUGCCGCGUGAGUGAAGAAGGUCUUCGGAUUGUAAAGCACUUUAAGUUGGGAGGAAGGGAAGUAAGUUAAUACCUUGCUGUUUUGACGUUACCAACAGAAUAAGCACCGGCUAACUUCGUG
rnacentral:rRNA from 1 species